rnacentral:lncRNA from 10 species
UCUCCUUAUGCUGCCCAGGGUGGUUUCGAACUCCUGGGCUCAAGUGAUCCUCCCACUUCUGCAUUCCAAAGUGCUGGGAUUACAGGUGUGAGCCACUGCAUCUGGCAUGCUGGGAGAUUCUUAAUGUUCCCUCCCACUAAGCAGGUUGGGGUGGGUCAACACAUCUUCAUGGGAGUAGAUGGAACUGAAAUGCUGGUGAGCUUGGUAGGAAAGCAAGUUUAGGGCUUAACUCGAGUUCCAGUUAGCUAUCGCUGUGUAAAAGCCACCUCCAAAAUUCAGUGGCUUCGAAUGACUAUUUUAUAUAUUUAUUUUUUUAUUUGUUUUUUAUUUUUGAGACGGAGUCUCACUCUGUCUCCCAAGCUAGAGUGCAGUGAUGCAAUCUCGGCUCACUGCAACCUCCGCCUCCCGGGUUCCAGCGAUUCUCCUGCCUCAGCCCCCUGAGUAGCUGGGACUACAGGCACGUACCACAAAGCCCCGCUAAAUUUUGUAUUUUUUAGUAGAGACAGGGUUUCACUACAUUACCCAGGCUGGUCUCGAACUCCUGACCUUGUGAUCCGCCUGCUUCGGCCUCCCAAAGUGCUGGGAUUACAGGCGUGAGCCACCGCACCCAGCCUAUUUAUUAUUCUUCACAGUUCUCGGGGAUAACGGGCUCAGCUGCGAAGUUCUUCCUUGAGCAUCUGAAUUUGGUUGUGGUCAGAUGGUGGAUAAAGCUGGACUUAUCUGAAUCUUCUUUCGUCACAUGUCUGGAGUGUCUGGAGUGGCUGGAAAACAGCUUCCUCACAAGUUGGCCAAGUGGCUGGAAGUCCACCUACAAUGGGCAUGCCGUCCUGGAACAUCUCUCUUCUCUAUCUUGGAUUCGGUUCUAUGUCCCCCUAUGUUAUUGGGGACAGAAUUGUGCCCAGACAAGAAAAUGAUGUUUCCCAGCCUCCCCUGCAGCUGAGUGGGGACAACCAUUGAGAUGCCGUUGCAGGGCUCCGCUUUGGAGCGGGCAUUGGAGGAAUUCUUUGACCACCAAGCAGCCUCCAUACCUCCCUCCUACAUAACAGAGCCACCGAGAGGCUGUUUGCAUUCUGCCUGCUUUCUCUUUUUCCGUUGCAGUAGUUUAUUAAUUAGUGUGCAAAAAAUAAAAAGGAGGUAAUAACCUUAUUUAUGUGCUAGU